rnacentral:rRNA from 1 species
GAUGAACGCUGGCGGCGUGCCUAAUACAUGCAAGUCGAACGCUGGAAAUCUAGCUUGCUAGAUUGAAGGAGUGGCGAACGGGUGAGUAAUACAUAAGCAACCUACCCACGAAGACUGGGAUAAUCUCUGGAAACGGGGACUAAUACCGGAUAGGUAAUCGGAAGGCAUCUUCUGAUUAUUAAAGGUUAAAAACACUGGUGGAUGGGCUUAUGGCGCAUUAGUUAGUUGGUGAGGUAACGGCCCACCAAGACGAUGAUGCGUAGCCGGCCUGAGAGGGUGAACGGCCACAUUGGGACUGAGACACGGCCCAGACUCCUACGGGAGGCAGCAGUAGGGAAUUUUCGGCAAUGGGGGAAACCCUGACCGAGCAACGCCGCGUGAGUGAUGACGGCCUUCGGGUUGUAAAGCUCUGUUGUAAGGGAAGAACGGUAGAUAGAGAAUAUCUAAAUGACGGUACCUUACCAGAAAGUCACGGCUAACUACGUG